GACGAACGCUGGCGGCGUGCUUAACACAUGCAAGUCGAACGGAAAGGCCCUGCUUUUGUGGGGUGCUCGAGUGGCAAAGGGGAGAGUAACACGUGAGUAACCUGCCCUAGACUUUGGGAUAACUUCAGGAAACUGGGGCUAAUACCGGAUAGGAGCUCCUGCUGCAUGGUGGGGGUUGGAAAGUUUCGGCGGUUGGGGAUGGACUCGCGGCUUAUCAGCUUGUUGGUGGGGUAGUGGCUUACCAAGGCUUUGACGGGUAGCCGGCCUGAGAGGGUGACCGGCCACAUUGGGACUGAGAGACGGCCCAGACUCCUACGGGAGGCAGCGGUGGGGAAUAUUGCACAGUGGGCGGCAUCCUGAUGCAGCAACGCCGCGUGCGGGAUGACGGCCUUCGUGUUGUAAACCGCUUUCGCCUGUGACGAAGCGUGAGUGACGGUAAUGGGUGAAGAAGCACCGGCUAACUACGUG
rnacentral:rRNA from 1 species